AUUGAACGCUGGCGGCAGGCCUAACACAUGCAAGUCGAACGGGUCGCGGGCGGGUUGGCAAUGUCUGGGACACUGCCUGGUGGAGGGGGAUAACUACCGGAAACGGUUGCUAAUACCGCAUAGCAUCGGCUAUGCCCAGAUGGGAUUAGGUAGGUGGUGGGGUAAAGGCGUACGAAGGCGACGAUCCCUAGCUGGUCUGAGAGGAUGACCAGCCACACUGGAACUGAGACACGGUCCAGACUCCUACGGGAGGCAGCAGUGGGGAAUAUUGGACAAUGGGCGAAAGCCUGAUGCAGCCAUGCCGCGUGUAUGAAGAAGGCCUUCGGGUUGUAAAGUACUUUCAGCGGGGAGGCGUUACCCGCAGAAGAAGCACCGGCUAACUCCGUGCCAGCAGCCGCGGUAAUAC
rnacentral:rRNA from 1 species